rnacentral:lncRNA from 1 species
UCUUCCACUACUCCUUCAUUCUCCUCUUCAUCCUCCUCAUCACCCUCGUCUACCACCCUCUCUCCAUCCUCCUCCUCCUCCUCUCUUUCGCCGGCUGGUACUUCCUAUUCUUCUCCCGUGACUCCGCCGAACCCUUCUCGUUAUUCAACCUAGUAGCAGUUGACGAUCGGGUCGUCGUUUUGGCUCUGGCGGUUUUCACUUUGGUUGUUAUUGCUGUGACCGGCGUGUGGUUGAACGUCUUGUUGUCGGUUGUUGUGGCGGCUGGUGUUGUUUGCUUGCACGGCGCCUCUAAAAUUUUCUCUUAAAUAGACUCUUAUGUAUCCAAUGCGAACGGAGAAAUCGAUGCACUUAUAAUCAUUUGAAUAUUUUAUCCUUUUAUUUUCAGUUGUAGAGACAUUGUUAAAUUGUUGGUAAUCAAGAGACUCAUAAAUAUUUUAUAAUUCUCCAUUGGGUGCAUUUGAUCUUAUUAGUCAAAUUCCUAUUGUCCAGAUGGCUACAUCCUACCGCCAUAAAUUUGCAACGGUAGGGUGAGAAUGUUAAAUUAGUGUGGUGCAUAUAACAAACAAAGUAUGAAAAAUAAUAUUUUUGGUCAAAGUAUGAAAUGGUUGACAAUAAUAAAAAGAUGAGCAUUGGGUGUGUUGGCCCAAUUUUGAAUAUCAUAUACAACACAAAAUUAACAGUAAUUACGACGGUGGUAUUUGACUGAGGAGAAAAGGAAACUUCGCUUUUGCUCUGUUUAUCGUCACACUCGCACAAUGUCCUCUUCUACUGAAACUCUCUCUAACUUCAAGGAAGCCGCACAAUCCAUCAUGUCCACGCGCCAUACCUGGAGCGAGUUCCUCUCACUCUCCGCCCUCACACUUCCUUCCUCAUUCUCCGAUUUCACCACGCGCAUCGGUAUCAAUCUCACGCGCUUCCUCUUCCACUACUCCUUCAUUCUCCUCUUCAUCCUCCUCAUCACCCUCGUCUACCACCCUCUCUCCAUCCUCCUCCUCCUCCUCUCUUUCGCCGGCUGGUACUUCCUAUUCUUCUCCCGUGACUCCGCCGAACCCUUCUCGUUAUUCAACCUAGUAGCAGUUGACGAUCGGGUCGUCGUUUUGGCUCUGGCGGUUUUCACUUUGGUUGUUAUUGCUGUGACCGGCGUGUGGUUGAACGUCUUGUUGUCGGUUGUUGUGGCGGCUGGUGUUGUUUGCUUGCACGGCGGAUUGAGGAGG